AUUAAAUACUGAUGUAGCGCGACGGCUCAGCGAAUGGCAAUCGUGCAAAUUAUACUUCGGUGAAAAAAAGGAGAGAAGCGCGUUGGAACGACAAGGAGAGCGAGAUAGAGAAAAAGAGCCCACACAUACCGCGAACGGUACCAGCGGGAAAGAAUGAAAGUGAUAGAGGAAUAGGAAAUAUCAAACGAAAAUACCAGUUUUCACAUUUUUUUUCUGCGCAAUAUAGAAAAAAAAUGUGAAAAAUAGGCGAUUUUUGAGUUAAUGCGCAAUCACGCGCGUCUCGUAUCCUUUACCAAAGCUUGCGCUCGAUCAUAUCUGCACGCGUAGAGAUUGCGAAGUAUCAUUUGAAAGCAUAAGGUCUUUUGUAUCUUGCUCCUUUGGAGUAUCGAGAAUAUUAUAUUCCUAUUCGAGACUUACGAGAUGGCGAGCGUGUCUCUUUGUUAAAUCAUGUACUUGUAAUGUCGUUUAAUAUGCUGACAAUAACACGGUGAUUUCUCACCGCCCAGAUGCGAUAUGUGAAAAUUGUGAUAUAUAAUUACAUAAACAUGAGGAUCUCUGUACAUAAAGAUCUUUAGAUAUAA